rnacentral:rRNA from 1 species
AGCGAACGCUGGCGGCAGGCUUAACACAUGCAAGUCGAGCGGGCCUUUCGGGGUCAGCGGCGGACGGGUGAGUAACGCGUGGGAACGUGCCCUCUGGUUCGGAAUAACUCAGGGAAACUUGAGCUAAUACCGGAUACGCCCUUUUGGGGAAAGGCUUGCUGCCGGAGGAUCGGCCCGCGUCUGAUUCGCUAGUUGGUGAGGUAACGGCUCACCAAGGCGACGAUCAGGAGCUGGUCUGAGAGGAUGCUCCGGCACACUGGGGAUGAGACCCGGCCCAGAACCCGACGGGGGGGAGGAGUGGGGAAUACUGGACAAGGGGGCCAAACCCGGUCCCGCCCUGCCCGGGGAGGGGUGAAGGGCUUAGGGUUGUAAAGCUCUUUUAUCCGGGACGAUAAUGACGGUACCGGAGGAAUAAGCCCCGGCUAACUUCGUG